rnacentral:rRNA from 1 species
GAAUUCAACUCCUACGGGAGGCAGCAGUGGGGAAUAUUGGACAAUGGGCGCAAGCCUGAUCCAGCCAUGCCGCGUGAGUGAUGAAGGCCCUAGGGUUGUAAAGCUCUUUCACCGGUGAAGAUAAUGACGGUAACCGGAGAAGAAGCCCCGGCUAACUUCGUGCCAGCAGCCGCGGUAAUACGAAUGGGGCUAGCGUUGUUCGGAUUUACUGGGCGUAAAGCGCACGUAGGCGGACUAAUAAGUCAGGGGCGAAAUCCCGGGGCUCAACCCCGGAACUGCCUUUGAUACUGUUAGUCUUGAGUAUGGAAGAGGUGAGUGGAAUUCCGAGUGUAGAGGUGAAAUUCGUAGAUAUUCGGAGGAACACCAGUGGCGAAGGCGGCUCGCUGGUCCAUUACUGACGCUGAGGUGCGAAAGCGUGGGAAGCAAACAGGAUUAGAUACCCUAGUAGUCCAGGCGUU